rnacentral:snRNA from 1 species
UUCGCUUCUCGGCCUUUUGGCUAAGAUCAAAGUGUAGUAUCUGUUCUUAUCAGCUUAAUUUUAAAGAAUAGUCAACGAUUAUAUAAAUAUUUUUAGGUAAUUUUCCGUGUCCACCCGCA